rnacentral:rRNA from 1 species
CCUACGGGAGGCAGUAGUGGGGAAUAUUGGGCAAUGGGCGCAAGCCUGACCCAGCAACGCCGCGUGAAGGAAGAAGGCUUUCGGGUUGUAAACUUCUUUUCUCAGGGACGAAGAAAGUGACGGUACCUGAUGAAUAAGACACGGCUAACUACGUGCCAGCAGCCGCGGUAAUACGUAGGUGGCAAGCGUUAUCCGGAUUUACUGGGUGUAAAGGGCGUGUAGGCGGGAAAGCAAGUCAGAUGUGAAAACCAUGGGCUCAACCUGGGGCCUGCAUUUGAAACUGGUUUUCUUGAGUACUGGAGAGGCAGGCGGAAUUCGUGGUGUAGCGGUGAAAUGCGUAGAUAUGAGGAGGAACACCAGUGGCGAAGGCGGUCUGCUGGAC